UACGGGGGGGGCAAGCGUUGUUCGGAAUUACUGGGCGUAAAGGGCUCGUAGGUGGCCACUAAGUCAGACGUGAAAUCCCUCAGCUUAACUGGGGAACUGCGUCUGAUACUGGAUGGCUUGAGUUUGGGAGAGGGAUGCGGAAUUCCAGGUGUAGCGGUGAAAUGCGUAGAUAUCUGGAGGAACACCGGUGGCGAAGGCGGCAUCCUGGACCAACACUGACACUGAGGAGCGAAAGCCAGGGGAGCAAACGGG
rnacentral:rRNA from 1 species